AACAACACAAUUUAUUUAAUGAAAAAAAAAAAGAAAAAAACCCACAAGGAAGUGGUUGAUAAGACAACGGAAACCCCCCCCCCCGAAGAAUCAAAUGCAUUAAUAUGCCAAAUCCGGCUACGAAACCCAGAAAUUCUAAAUAUGGAUCGUUGGGAGAGGUAUGUUGGGGGGCGGGGGGAAACCCUCGAAAUCUGCAUUCCGAACGAAGGAGAGGAACCAGCAUAGUUACAAAAAGAAACAACAGAAAAGAAAAAUUAUAUAUAUACAAAACUCAUAUUUAUGUACAGUAGCCGAGAAGAACCAUGUGAAAUGCCGAUCGCUCGAAAUCAAAGGGAUGUGCAAAUUCGACAGCGGACAAGGAAACACCCACGGCCCUCAAAUGGAGUCACUGUAACAGUCAAGACGGGGGUGGUGGUGGCGGCUUCGCGGUGAGGAGGCAAAGGGGGGACGUUUUCAAGGCGGGCAACUGGGAGACACCCGCCCCCCUAAAAUCAGGGGUCCUUUUGCGGGAGUGUCACCAUUAUUUGAGCUCCUUUUGCAGAACGGAAGAGAGGCCUGGAGGCGCCAUCGUACCCAUUUGUAGCAGCGCACCCCACCUCUGACUUCCGAUCCGGGAGACGUUCUCCACUGUUCUCGCGGGCUUCCGAGCCACCGGCUCGGUGGUCCACAGCUCAGGAGUAUGGGUCUUUUGACCAGGGUCUACCUCUGACACUUCAAGCCUUGGGGAAUUGGAUGGGAAUUCGGAGCAGGCCGGGUGUCGAGGAUUGGUGGGAUCCAUUUCUUGCCAGAUUUUGGCAAGGGGUUUUUGGCAAUUCCCUUUCCCAGCCUCUCUCUGGAGCAGCAGGAAAAUUCAGAACUGUGCUUAAUUAUAUAUGUCCUCUGCGCUAGAGGGAGGGAUGGUGUUGAUGGUCCCUAGGAACCAGAAGUCCGCUGGGGUGGAGGAACAGGUCGGCAGAUAGGAGCCAAAAUCAGGGCGGAAAAUAAAAAUAGAAAUAUGGGGAUUGUAGUCACCAAGAUUUAAACCAAGGAAAUGAGAUCCUCUCUAAGCUGGCUGAUCCCUCCAAGAUUUCAAGGGGAUCUCGCUAACCGGACGUAAAGUUUUGUUGCUGGAUAGUCUUUAUUCUCAUUAUUUUUUACCCUUUUAACCCAAAACUGAACUCUGGAACUCUCUCGUAAGGGUGGGGGGGAGAAGGAAUGUCGGAAAGAUUGGACGACACCCUGUUUGGGGAGGGGGGAGGAAAACCCACCCGGUGUGGGUGUAUCGGAGAGCUCCCUUAAAAAGGGGAACUGUUUGUUUUAUUGCUGAUGAAAUGGAGAUCAAGAGAUCUGGGCUGACUUAAAGGGAAAAUUAAUUUUUUUUAAAAAAAGGAGGGGAGGUUAAGAUAGUAUGUUUUAUCCCCUGGAAUUCCAGCGUCCGGGUUUCGAUUUUUUUAGAGAAGUGUGAAAGGGGUGAUUUUAAAAAAGGAUGGGGUGGAAAGAAAUGGAUCGGAGCGAGGUCGUGAAGACGGGAUCGGAGCGAGGUCAUGAAGACGGGAUCGGAGCAAGGUCAUGAAGACGGAAUCGGAGCGAGGUCGUGAAGACGGGAUUGGAGCGAGGUCGUGAAGACAGGAUCAGAACGAGGUCGUGAAGAUGGGAUUAGAGCGAGGUCGUGAAGACGGGAUCGGAGCGAGGUCGUGAAGACGGGAUAGGUUCAGAUUUAAAUUGUGCUUAAAAGCAUUUUUUUUUCUUGGAGCACAGAUAUAGAGGGAUCUCCAUUUUCAAUUUCCAGGGCUAAAUUUUCAGGGUUCUACCUUCCCGUUGCAAAAUCCGUAUUCCAAAUUUGAGGACUUUCAAACGAGGAAAAUCCAGCGGGUUUUGAGACCGUGUGAAUUCCACCGGGAGUCUUUUUUUUUUGCCAAUUCUUGGUUUCUUUCCUUGAAAA